GUGAAUCAUCGAAUUUUUGAACGCAUAUUGCGCUCUCUGGUAUUCCGGAGAGUAUGCCUGUUUGAGGGUCAUUAAAAAGAAUCUUUAACCAAUCUUGUUGGUCAAAGGGGAUGAGUUCUCGGCGUUUAUAGCGGUAGCUUGAAAUAAAUGGUCAAGUCUCAUUUUAGUCGAGACGCGUAAUAUUAUUAUUUCGCGACAUAUUCAUUAUGUGACUCUCACGUUUUGAUGCCUACAAAUUUGGUUUGUAUGCGAUCACUACAAAUCUUUUGAACAUUACCUCAAAU
rnacentral:misc_RNA from 1 species